rnacentral:tRNA from 1 species
GAAAAAAGCCGGGAUAGCUCAGUUGGUAGAGCAGAGGACUGAAAAUCCUCG